rnacentral:tRNA from 1 species
GUCCCCUUCGUCUAGUGGCCCAGGACACCCGCCCUUUCACGGCGGUAACAGGGGUUCGAGUCCCUAGGGACGCCA